GGGCCCGCACAAGCGGAGGAACAUGUGGUUUAAUUCGAUGAUACGCGAGGAACCUUACCUGGGCUUGAAAUGGAGAGGGAUGGUAUAGAAAUGUGCCAGGUCGCAAGACCCUCUUUGUAGGUGCUGCAUGGUUGUCGUCAGCUCGUGCCGUGAGGUGUCGGGUUAAGUCCCAUAACGAGCGCAACCCCUGCCGCCAGUUACCAACAGGAAAGCUGGGGACUCUGGCGGGACUGCCGCCGUAAGGUGUGAGGAAGGCGGGGAUGACGUCAAAUCAGCACGGCCCUUAUGUCCAGGGCUACACACGUGUUACAAUGGCCGGUACAGCAUGAAGCGAGCGGGCGACCGCAAGCGGAUCAAGAAAGCCGGUCCCAGUUCGGAUCGAAGUCUGCAACCCGACUUCGUGAAGCUGGAUUCGCUAGUAAUCGCGCAUCAGCCAUGGCG
rnacentral:rRNA from 1 species